rnacentral:sRNA from 1 species
GCUUUCAACAUCCCCGUUCCGGACCAAGCGUGAGCCUAUUGCGGAAUAGCCGCAAUCGCAUUCGCAUCCGGAGCUGAAGGC